rnacentral:rRNA from 1 species
ACGCUCGACACCUACGGGGGCAGCAGUCGGGAAUAUUGCGCAAUGGAGGAAACUCUGACGCAGUGACGCCGCGUAUGGGAAGAAGGUUUUCGGAUUGUAAACCAUUUUAGACAAGGAAGAAACAAGACAGUACUUGUAGAAUAAGCUCCGGCUAACUACGUGCCAGUAGCCGCGGUAAUCUGAGCGGGCUGGCAAGGC